ACCUUGGGCUGGCAUUUCGGCGGAGGGGUACAAACAUAGAUCACGGAGCCAAUGGAAAAGAUGGGGCUAAGUACAGCUCAGCGUAGCUACGCAGACGCUAGUACGAGCAUGUCUGCCAUCUAUGUUGUACAAAAGUCAUCUCCGGUGGUAGGAACUGUAGCGACUGGUGCAACCCCUGCUCACAUGAACUAAAUAACGAAAUAGAGUGCCUGCCUAUUCAAUAAAAGUAGCGAGUAGGUUGUGUAAAAUUACUCCGCCUAUGUCGCGAGCUUCCAGUUAUUUUGGUACAUUUUUCUCCAUAACACCCUUAAAAAAGGCCCAAAGCACAGUUAAGUUGUCAUUGUCCGCUCCUGUCCUAUUGACAACAUCGUAGGACAUGGAGAGGAAGAGGGUUCCCUUCAACAAACGCGAGACAAGCACGCGCCCUGCUCGGUGCUCGCGUCCACACCACAGCAAACGAAUCCUGACCAGCACACUCUCCUCCAGGCUCGCCGAGUUUACGAUUGAAGGCACGUCUGGGAGCCGUGCCUUAGAGGGGGAGUACUGUCAUGAUCCUGCCGCUCCAGCCCGGGCUGUGUGGGUGCCCGCGCGGCUGCACUAAUUGGGAGGGACACACCUGCGCCUCAUGCGGGCUGAUCAUCCCCUGUAUAUAUAGGACCCGGUGACGACUGGUCCUCCGCCAGAUCGUUGAGGUUCAUGUCCCGUUCCAGCACUCUCGUAUCCCUGAUCGUCAACCCGUGUGUACUGACCUUUGCCUGUUCUCUGACCGACCCCGUAAGCCUGACUCCCUCGAUACUCCUGCUUGCUCUGCUCGUUCUCCCGUGUGCCGACUCCUGCCUGCCCGCUGACCUGCUCUCUACGCCCAACGUCCCAACUACCACUGGUGCACCUGACUGCCUGCCCGAUCCGCGACCUUCUAAUAAUAAACGUUUUUCCCCGAACUACCUUGUAUCUCCCGAAUCCUGCAUUUGGAUCCUUCCUCGGUUCCGAUGGGUCAUGACAAUAUUGCAAGGUCUCCCGCUUAGAAAUCAUGGAGGGGUCUGCAAUUUUCACCUUAGGUGCAUGUGCACUGUGAGAGAGAUAAUCAAGAGAAAAUCCAGAAAUCAGAAUGUCUCAUUUUAUUUUAUUUUUUUUUAACGAUUUAUUUGUGUGAUACAGUUGCAAAUAAGUAUUUGAAGACCUGAGAAAACCAAUGUCAAUGUUUGGUACAGUAGCCUUUGUUUGCAAUUACAGAGGUCAAACAUUUCCUGUAGUUGUUCACCAGGUUUGCACAUACUGCAGGAGGGAUUUUGGCCCACUCCUCCUCACAGAUCUUCUCUAGAUCAGACAGGUUUCUGGGCUGUCGCUAAGAAACACGGAGUUUCAGCUCCCUCCAAUGAUUUUCUAUUUGGUUUAGGUCUGGAGACUGGCUAGGCUAGGCCAUGCUUGAACCUUGAUAUGCUUCUUACGGAGCCACUCCUUGGUUCUCCUGGCUGUGUGCUUCGGGUCAUUGUCAUGUUGAAAGACCCAGCCACGACUCAUCUUCAAUGCUCUAACUGAGGGAAAGAGGUUGUUCCCCAAAAUGUCACAAUACAUGGCUGCGGUCAUCUUCUCCUUAUUACACUGCAGUCGGCCUGUCCCAUGUCCAGAAAAACACCCUCAAAGCAUGAUGCUACUACCCCCAUGCUUCACAGUAGCGAUGGUUUCCUUGGGAUGGAACUCAUCAUUCGUCUUCCUCCAAACACAGUCAGUGGAAUUAUGACCAAAAAAUUCCAUUUUGGUCUCAUCUGACCACAAAACUUUCUCCCAUGACUCCUCUGCAUCAUCCAAAUGGUCAUUGGCAAACUUAAGACGGGCCUUGACAUGUGCUGGUUUAAGCAGGGGAAUCUUCCGUGCCAUGGAUAAUUUCAAACCAUGACAUCUUAGUGUAUUACCAACACUCACCCUGAAAACGGUGGUCCCAGCUCUUUUCAGGUCGUUGACCAAGUCAUGUAGUCAUGUUAUGUAGUCCUGGGGUGAUUCCUCAUCUUUCUAAUGAUCAUUGAGACCCCACGAGGUGAUAUCUUGCAUAGGGUUCCACGCUGAUUGAGAAUGAUCGUCAUGUUUAGCUUCUUCCAUUUUCUAAUGUUUGCUCCAACAAUGGACUUUUUUUCACCAAGCUGCUUGGCAAUGUCUCCAUAGCCCUUUCCAGCCGUGUGGAGUUGUACAAUUUUGUCUGUGGUGUGUUUGGAGAGCUCUUUGGUCUUGGCCAUGUUAGAAGUUUGAGUCUUACUGAUUGUAUGGGUUGAACAGGUAUUUUUAUGCAGCUAACGACCUCACACAUGUACAUCUGAUUCAGGAUAAUACAUGGAGUGGAGGCGGACUGAGACGUCUUUGAGGGUCAGAAUUCUUGCUGAUAGACAGGUGUUGCAAUACUUAUUUGCAGCUGUAUCACACAAAUAAAUCGUUAAAAAAAUCAUACAUUGUCAUUUCUGAAUUUUUCUCUUGAGAUUAUCUCUCAAAGUGGACAUGCACCUACCUACCUACCUACCUACCUACCUACCUACCUACUCUAAUCUAAUCUAAUCUAAUCUAAUUUCCCAGUAUCUAUUAAGUGACUAUCAUGCAUUUUGGUGUCAAAUUCAAAUCUGCCAGAAAGGUAUUUUCUGUGGAAAGCGUUCAAAGAAUUGUAAUAAGUUUCUGAGAAUAAUUUGUUUGCUACCACUUUCUUGGAUUCUUACAGAAACAUGUCUACCAUACAGUGUUUUUUAAGUGCACCAAUCAUCUUUUUAUAAUAUACAUUGCCAGUUUAGUGUCAAAAUGGUCCAUCUCAAUAUCCAUAAUAACAUACAAACAUAAUUGCUUGUAUAUUAUUAUUAGCUCUGAGACUGAUAAGCAAACCAUUACUAAAUGUAACCACACAAAAAAUGUCCUCCGGACACAUUACAAAAGUUGGCGCGGAAUAAAAUCUUCAGAUGAGUAAUUUUCCUUUCCCCCCAAGACACGUCUAUGUCAACACAAGGUCAUGUCAAUAACUAGUGAAGGACUUUGAGUAGUCCCAACAAUCCAAAGACUUUCCUCUACUUGAGAAGAUCUGCCCCAGCAUUUUUGUCCAGGGGAUGCCAAUGACGCAGUCAGUUACUAAUGCAUCAUAACUGAUCCAGGACUUAAAAUAAUCUGUCAUGCCAAAAAAUAACAUCAGAAUCAACAUCAGCUUUAUUGGCCAAGUGUGUAAAAUCUUACAAGGAAUUUUUCUCUGGGAGUCGGUGCUGCCAUCGUAGAGGUAUGAAAUUUAGAAAUGUUGUUUUGAAGAUGACCAUUAAAAUGUUUCUAUGAUGACUCUAUUCCAGUAUCAGAUACUAAUCUAAAUUAGACCACUGUGUUCCCUUUACAACAUACAGUUUACAAGUCUUGUAGUUCGUGUAAGUUAUUAUAAACGUAUACUCGUGGAAAGGUUUUCAUCAUACCGUCAAUCCCACAUUACCAUAGCCACAUAUCCUUACAAUGGUCACGGGAGCGCUGGAGCCCAUCCCAGCCAUCCUUGGGCAGGAGAUUGGGCACACCCUGAACUGGUCCCCAAUCGCAGGGCUCAUAGAAACAACCAUUUACACUCAUAAUCAGACCUACAGUAAGUGCAACUUGGUCUUCAACAAGAAUCCUCGGAGUGUGGACUUAAUGGCAAAUCUGCAAAUUUAGUCUGUAUCACUUCGUGUGUCAACCCACAUAGGUGAAUGUUCCAUCACAAGGCCAAAAUUAAAGACACAAAUUAUUUGUGAGCGCAACCAUCAUUUGUAUCACUGUAGUAAUGUCAGUACCAGCACUGUACUUGCAACCUGUUGAAGCAUUUUUUUCGUCUCUGGAAACUUCAUUAUUGAAAAACAAACUGCAUCUGUUUUUCUGUGUGAUUAUCAAAGUGACUAACUUGUGACAGGGAAGUUUAGUCCCUUUUGGAAAAUCCAGGUCAAUAUUAGCGUGGCGUGAGGAUUGAAGCUGUGAAAUGCGAUAGAUGUCUUAUGCAAAAGGUACAGAUUGGUUUGCUGUUGCGCUCUACCAAAAAAAAAAAAAAGACCUCACCAGCUCUGGUAAAAACGUCAUGUGUUCAUCCACAAACAGUGAAGAAAAUAAGUAUUUGAACGCCUUGCUAUAUUGCAAAUUCUCCCAAUUAGAAAUCAUG